ACGCGGGCGGCCUACUGUCGGGUGUGGCCGCGAGGGGCGGCCUAUAUAAGCUCUUGCUCGCGGCUUCAGCGCCCUUUCUCCCCGCCGCAUUCCCGGUGUCGACUUACUAGCUGCAAGCCUCUGCCUGCCUUCCUGCGCGCCGUUCCCCGCUAGUCGCUGCUGCUGGCGCGCACUCGCCGGGUUUUUCCUCCCACGGCCUCGAGAUGGUGGUGAAUGUGGCACGGAGGAGCCGGGCCUUCCAACCCGGUGGGCCCGAGCUCCGAAAGGCCCCCUCGGCAGUGAGAGGGGCGGGAGCCCGCGGGGGCCGCGCCCUUCUCUCGCUUCGGACUGCGCAACGCUGCGCUCUGGGCUGACAGGCGGAUAAAACGGUCCCAUCAAGACUGAGAAAAAGCACACCAGCUAUUGGCACAGCGUGGGCAGUGGGGCCUACAGGAUGACUGACUUAGUCUACAGAGAUCCCGGCGUACUUAAGCAGGUAGUAAUGAUGGACAGGUGAGGCUUUAGGCGGCCGCCCUGGGAUCUGAAUUGCCCCUUGGCCCUUAUCGAAGCUGCAGCUGCUUCCGCAUAGCUGCUGUGGUCAAAAAGGAGCCCAGAGUGACAGUUUUCCUUGACGGUCGCCGUUCUGUUUGUUGUAACUGAUCUGCAACAUUUUGGGAAAAUACAGUUCCAUUGUACCUGCCACCUUUCAGCUGUAGCCAGAGACCUUUAUCAAAAUGGGCUUGUUUCCACAGAACAGCAGAACGGUUGGGGGUUUGCAUGUACAGUUAACCAGCAUAAGACUCGUACUGGGAAAAUCCAGCUGGGAUGUGACACAGCUUAACUGAUAGCUUAAGGCAUCAGUAUUGGGACCAAAGGCUGGUCAGAUUUGUAUCAUUCUGAGGACCAAAUGAUGGGAACAAUAAAAUUGUUCAUGACAGUUGUUCUCAUUUUGCUGUCCAGAUGAAGACUCUUAAGAUGACAGAAGGUGAUUUUUCUGGUGAUCGAGGACUUCCGGGGUAAUGACAGUGAUGAAAUGCAGGGGACCUGGUAGGUUUCUUUUGGAGACUAACUGGGGGCUGCCUGGUGGGACAGAACAGCAUGUUUCCAAGGGCUGUGGCUGGUCAUAGCCAUGGGAUCUCCAACUGCAUGCAAGAGCAACCUGGAAAGACUUUGACAGCGCAGGUUGGCUAGAUGGGUCUCGAACUUCUGACCUCGGGUGAUCCGCCCGACUCGGCCUCCCCUUCCAAAGUGCUGGGAUUACAGGCAUGAGCCACCGCUCCUGGCCAGUUUAGUUUUCACGCUAAGCUUUUUGUUCUGCAGGUUGCCCCCAAGUUUCCUGGCAGUGUGUGAUACUGAGGAGAUUCAUGUUACAUGUAAAGCUGUCCUCAUUUGUGACUAUGGACCUAUGGAGUUGGGACAAUCUCUAUGGGAAGCAGAAGGCAAGGACCCCGGUCAUUUUAGGUAGAAACAACAGCAUGCUAAUGCAAAAAAUUAUGCAGUGUGCUACUGAACUUCAGAGGUGAUCAAUAAAAGAAGAAUAAAAAGACUAAUAAAAGUAUAUUUGUGUUUGUAUUUUUUUGUAGAGACCGAACUGGUCUCUU
rnacentral:lncRNA from 1 species